CGGCCGCGGUAUUUUGACCGUGCAAAGGUAGCGCAAUCACUUGUCUUUUAAAUAGAGACCUGUAUGAAUGGCUAAACGAGGGCUUAACUGUCUCCCCUUUCCAGUCAGUGAAAUUGAUCUGCCCGUGCAGAAGCGGGCAUAAAAAUACAAGACGAGAAGACCCUUUGGAGCUUAAGGUACAAAACUCAACCACGUCAAGCGACUCAAUAAAAAGCAAAAACUUUGUGGAAUAUGAGAUUUUACCUUCGGUUGGGGCGACCACGGAGGAAAACAAAGCCUCCAAGUGGAUUGGGACAAACCUCCUAAAACCAAGAGAGACAUCUCUAAGCCACAGAACAUCUGACCAAACAUGAUCCGGCUGCCCGAAGCCGAUCAACGAACCAAGUUACCCUAGGGAUAACAGCGCAAUCCUCUCCCAGAGUCCAUAUCGACGAGAGGGUUUACGACCUCGAUGUUGGAUCAGGACAUCCUAAUGGUGCAGCCGCUAUUAAGGGUU
rnacentral:rRNA from 1 species